rnacentral:rRNA from 1 species
UACGGAGGGGGCUAGCGUUGUUCGGAAUUACUGGGCGUAAAGCGCACGUAGGCGGCUUUGUAAGUUAGAGGUGAAAGCCCAGGGCUUAACCCUGGAAUUGCCUUUAAGACUGCAUCGCUAGAAUCGUGGAGAGGUAAGUGGAAUUCCGAGUGUAGAGGUGAAAUUCGUAGAUAUUCGGAAGAACACCAGUGGCGAAGGCGGCUCACUGGACAAGUACUGACACUCAACUACGAAAGCGAUGGGGAGCAAACAGG